rnacentral:rRNA from 1 species
CAGCCGCCGCGGUAAUACGGAGGGUGCAAGCGUUAAUCGGAAUUACUGGGCGUAAAGCGCGCGUAGGUGGUUUGUUAAGUUGGAUGUGAAAGCCCCGGGCUCAACCUGGGAACUGCAUCCAAAACUGGCAAGCUAGAGUACGGUAGAGGGUGGUGGAAUUUCCUGUGUAGCGGUGAAAUGCGUAGAUAUAGGAAGGAACACCAGUGGCGAAGGCGACCACCUGGACUGAUACUGACACUGAGGUGCGAAAGCGUGGGGAGCAAACAGGAUUAGAUACCCGCGUAGUCCCUGUCUCUUAUAC